rnacentral:pre_miRNA from 1 species
AUAUUACUCCCUCCGUCCGGAAAUAUUUGUCAUCAUAAUUGAUAAAAGGGGAUGUAUCUAGAUGUAUUUUAGUUCUAGAUACAUCUCUUUUUAUCCAUUUUGAUGACAAGUAUUUUCGGACGGAGGGAGUAGUUU